rnacentral:lncRNA from 10 species
UUUUCCAGGAGUCACUGAAGACUGUUCCUGGGGGUGUUAUCUCCCUGUCAUGAAUGCCUUCUUGCCAAGCAUGCUCCAAGCAAAGAAUGCCUUUAAGUGCAGAGACCAGGUAUUUGCAGGAGAAGACUGUUAAAAGGUGUGUACACAACAUGAAGGUGGCCAUCUGCAAGCCAAAAAGAGAGCCUUUACCAGAACCUGACCAUUGCUGGCACCCCAAUCCUGGAUGAUCCAGCCUCUAGAACUAUGAGAAAUAAAUUUCUGCUGUUCAAGCAACCCAGUCUAAGAUAUUUUUGUUGUAGCAGCCUGAACUGCCUAAAGAAACUGUGGUCUUGUAAAUUUCUCCAACAUCAUCUCAAAUCACUCUCCGAAUUGCUCUUGUCCAGGCAUGUAGGUCUCCCUGUGUUCCCAGAGCAUGAGAAUUCACUUCCUUCCCCAGAGGCUCUGAACUCUCUAUCUCCUCUGUCUUAAUCAUACUCUAGUUCUUCACCUACCUGGCUCCUUCUCAUCCUUCAGGUAUCUUACAUAGCACCUCCAGAAUGAGCAACACAUUUCAUGACCAUUCUGUCUAAAACCAUACCUUUCCUGUUUACUCAGUUACCAUAAUUAAUGAUUUUAUUUCCUUCACUAAACUUUUCACAAUCUGUAACUGUUUUAUUUUUAAUUAUUUAAUAGGGCAUUGCUUGUCUCCAACAUAUAAAUAUAAGUUUCAUAACUGUGUAAGUAUCUUCUGUGUCUUUGUCACCCUGCUAUUCUUUCUGCCAAUUACAGUGCAUGACACAAAGUGUUAUUUAAAAAUAUUUGUUGAAUGAGUGAAUUGUAUGGAUAAGCUCUUAGAAAAACAAAUAUACAGGUAUGUGCAUGUGUGUACUGUGAGUUAAUCAUACUAUUUCUCAAUAAGUAGACCAAAAGAAUCUUAUUUACAGAACUCUAAGGCAUUUUUUCACAAGUAUUGCUAACUUAUGACUAUAAAACACCAUGUUGUUGCCCUUGAG